rnacentral:rRNA from 1 species
UACGUAGGGGGCAAGCGUUGUCCGGAAUCAUUGGGCGUAAAGCGCGCGUAGGUGGCCGCAUAAGUCCGCUGUGAAAGUCAAAGGCUCAACCUUUGAAAGCCGGUGGAUACUGUGAGGCUAGAGUACGGAAGAGGCGAGUGGAAUUCCUGGUGUAGCGGUGGAAUGCGCAGAUAUCAGGAGGAACACCAAUAGCGAAGGCAGCUCGCUGGGACGUUACUGACACUGAGGCGCGAAAGCGUGGGGAGCGAACAGG